AUUGAACGCUGGCGGCAGGCCUAACACAUGCAAGUCGAACGAGUGGCGGACGGGAGAGUAAUGUCUGGGAAACUGCCUGAUGGAGGGGGAUAACUACUGGAAACGGUAGCUAAUACCGCAUACCAUCGGAUGUGCCCAGAGGGGAUUAGCUAGUAGGUGGGGUAACGGCUCACCUAGGCGACGAUCCCUAGCUGGUCUGAGAGGAUGACCAGGCACCCGGGAACUGAGGCACGGUGCAGACUCCUACGGGAGGCAGCGGUGGAGAAUAGUGCACAAUGGGCGCAAGCCUGAUGGAGCCAUGCAGCGUGGAUGAAGAAGGCCUUCGGGUUGUAAAGUACUUUCAGCGGGGAGGCGUUACCCGCAGAAGAAGCACCGGCUAACUCCGUGCCAGCAGCCGCGGUAAUAC
rnacentral:rRNA from 1 species